rnacentral:rRNA from 1 species
GAUAAGGAGCUUGCUCCUUUGACGUUAGCGGCGGACGGGUGAGUAACACGUGGGUAACCUACCUAUAAGACUGGGAUAACUUCGGGAAACCGGAGCUAAUACCGGAUAACAUUUGGAACCGCAUGGUUCUAAAGUGAAAGAUGGUUUUGCUAUCACUUAUAGAUGGACCCGCGCCGUAUUAGCUAGUUGGUAAGGUAACGGCUUACCAAGGCGACGAUACGUAGCCGACCUGAGAGGGUGAUCGGCCACACUGGAACUGAGACACGGUCCAGACUCCUACGGGAGGCAGCAGUAGGGAAUCUUCCGCAAUGGGCGAAAGCCUGACGGAGCAACGCCGCGUGAGUGAUGAAGGGUUUCGGCUCGUAAAACUCUGUUAUUAGGGAAGAACAAACGUGUAAGUAACUGUGCAUGUCUUGACGGUACCUAAUCAGAAAGCCACGGCUAACUACGUGCCAGCAGCCGCGGUAAUACGUAGGUGGCAAGCGUUAUCCGGAAUUAUUGGGCGUAAAGCGCGCGUAGGCGGUUUCUUAAGUCUGAUGUGAAAGCCCACGGCUCAACCGUGGAGGGUCAUUGGAAACUGGGAAACUUGAGUGCAGAAGAGGAAAGUGGAAUUCCAUGUGUAGCGGUGAAAUGCGCAGAGAUAUGGAGGAACACCAGUGGCGAAGGCGACUUUCUGGUCUGUAACUGACGCUGAUGUGCGAAAGCGUGGGGAUCAAACAGGAUUAGAUACCCUGGUAGUCCACGCCGUAAACGAUGAGUGCUAAGUGUUAGGGGGUUUCCGCCCCUUAGUGCUGCAGCUAACGCAUUAAGCACUCCGCCUGGGGAGUACGACCGCAAGGUUGAAACUCAAAGGAAUUGACGGGGACCCGCACAAGCGGUGGAGCAUGUGGUUUAAUUCGAAGCAACGCGAAGAACCUUACCAAAUCUUGACAUCCUUUGAAAACUCUAGAGAUAGAGCCUUCCCCUUCGGGGGACAAAGUGACAGGUGGUGCAUGGUUGUCGUCAGCUCGUGUCGUGAGAUGUUGGGUUAAGUCCCGCAACGAGCGCAACCCUUAAGCUUAGUUGCCAUCAUUAAGUUGGGCACUCUAGGUUGACUGCCGGUGACAAACCGGAGGAAGGUGGGGAUGACGUCAAAUCAUCAUGCCCCUUAUGAUUUGGGCUACACACGUGCUACAAUGGACAAUACAAAGGGCAGCUAAACCGCGAGGUCAUGCAAAUCCCAUAAAGUUGUUCUCAGUUCGGAUUGUAGUCUGCAACUCGACUACAUGAAGCUGGAAUCGCUAGUAAUCGUAGAUCAGCAUGC